GACGAACGCUGGCGGCGUGCCUAAUACAUGCAAGUAGAACGCUGAAGAGAGGAGCUUGCUCUUCUUGAAUGAGUUGCGAACGGGUGAGUAACGCGUAGGUAACCUGCCUUGUAGCGGGGGAUAACUAUUGGAAACGAUAGCUAAUACCGCAUGACAAUGGGUGACACAUGUCAUUUAUUUGAAAGGGGCAAUUGCUCCACUACAAGAUGGACCUGCGUUGUAUUAGCUAGUAGGUGAGGUAACGGCUCACCUAGGCGACGAUACAUAGCCGACCUGAGAGGGUGAUCGGCCACACUGGGACUGAGACACGGCCCAGACUCCUACGGGAGGCAGCAGUAGGGAAUCUUCGGCAAUGGGGGCAACCCUGACCGAGCAACGCCGCGUGAGUGAAGAAGGUUUUCGGAUCGUAAAGCUCUGUUGUAAGUCAAGAACGAGUGUGAGAGUGGAAAGUUCACACUGUGACGGUAGCUUACCAGAAAGGGACGGCUAACUACGUGCCAGCAGCCGCGGUAAUACGUAGGUCCCGAGCGUUGUCCGGAUUUAUUGGGCGUAAAGCGAGCGCAGGCGGUUUGAUAAGUCUGAAGUUAAAGGCUGUGGCUCAACCAUAGUUCGCUUUGGAAACUGUCAAACUUGAGUGCAGAAGGGGAGAGUGGAAUUCCAUGUGUAGCGGUGAAAUGCGUAGAUAUAUGGAGGAACACCGGUGGCGAAAGCGGCUCUCUGGUCUGUAACUGACGCUGAGGCUCGAAAGCGUGGGGAGCGAACAUG
rnacentral:rRNA from 1 species